GUGGGGAAUAUUCCGCAAUGGACGAAAGUCUGACGGAGCAACGCCGCGUGAGUGAUGAAGGUUUUCGGACUGUAAAGCUCUGUUGUUUAGGACGAAAGUGCCUGUUGCAAAUAGUUACAGGUAUUGACGGUACUGAACGAGGAAGCCACGGCUAACUACGUGCCAGCAGCCGCGGUAAUACGUAGGUGGCAAGCGUUGUCCGGAAUUAUUGGGCGUAAAGAGCAUGUAGGCGGGAAUCUAAGUCUGUUGUGAAAAUGCGGGGCUCAACCCCGUAUUGCGAUGGAAACUGGGUUUCUUGAGUGCAGGAGAGGAAAGGGGAAUUCCCAGUGUAGCGGUGAAAUGCGUAGAUAUUGGGAGGAACACCAGUGGCGAAGGCGCCUUUCUGGACUGUGUCUGACGCUGAGAUGCGAAAGCCAGGGUAGCGAACGGGAUUAGAAACCAGAGUAGUCC
rnacentral:rRNA from 1 species